rnacentral:tRNA from 1 species
GGACCCGUGGUCUAGCCUGGUUUAUGACGCCGGCCUGUCAAGCCGGAGAUCGCCGGUUCAAAUCCGGUCGGGUCCG